UACGGAGGAUGCAAGCGUUAUCCGGAUUUAUUGGGUUUAAAGGGUGCGCAGGCGGAAGAUUAAGUCGGCGGUGAAAUUUUGCAGCUCAACUGUAAAAGUGCCAUCGAUACUGGUUUUCUUGAGUGUGGAUGAAGUAGGCGGAAUUUGUGGUGUAGCGGUGAAAUGCAUAGAUAUCACGAGGAACUCCGAUUGCGCAGGCAGCUUACUAGGCCAUAACUGACGCUCAGGCACGAAGGCGUGGGGAUCAAACAGGAUUA
rnacentral:rRNA from 1 species